GACGAACGCUGGCGGCGUGCUUAACACAUGCAAGUCGAACGGUAAGGCCCUUCGGGGUACACGAGUGGCGAACGGGUGAGUAACACGUGGGUGAUCUGCCCUGCACUUCGGGAUAAGCCUGGGAAACUGGGUCUAAUACCGGAUAGGACCCUGGGAUGCAUGUCCUGGGGUGGAAAGCUUUUGCGGUGUGGGAUGGGCCCGCGGCCUAUCAGCUUGUUGGUGGGGUGAUGGCCUACCAAGGCGACGACGGGUAGCCGGCCUGAGAGGGUGACCGGCCACACUGGGACUGAGAUACGGCCAAGACUGCUACGGGAGGCAGCAGUGGGGAAUAUUACACAAUGGGCGCAAGCCUGAUGCAGCGACGCCGCGUGAGGGAUGACGGCCUUCGGGUUGUAAACCUCUUUCAGCACCGACGAAGCGCAAGUGACGGUAGGUGCAGAAGAAGGACCGGCCAACUACGUGCCAGCCGCCGCCGUAA
rnacentral:rRNA from 1 species